ACCUAAUAGAUACCCGGGUAGUCCACGCCCUAAACGAUGCGAACUGGAUGUUGGGUACAUUACGGUACUCAGUGUCGAAAGCUAAACGCGUUAAGUUCGCCGCCUGGGGAGUACGGUCGCAAGACUGAAACUCAAAGGAAUUGACGGGGGCCCGGCACAAGCGGUGGAGUAUGUGGUUUAAUUCGAUGCAACGCGAAGAACCUUACCUGGCCUUGACAUCUGUCGAAUCCUGCAGAGAUGCGGGAGUGCCGCAAGGAACGACAAGACAGGUGCUGCAUGGCUGUCGUCAGCUCGUGUCGUGAGAUGUUGGGUUAAGUCCCGCAACGAGCGCAACCCUUGUCCCUAGUUGCCAGCACGUAAUGGUGGGAACUCUAGGGAGACUGCCGGUGACAAACCGGAGGAGGUGGGGAUGACGUCAAGUCCUCAUGGCCCUUACGGCCA
rnacentral:rRNA from 1 species